rnacentral:rRNA from 1 species
CCUACGGGAGGCAGCAGUGAGGAAUAUUGGUCAAUGGGCGUAAGCCUGAACCAGCUAAGUCGCGUGAGGGAUGAAGGUUCUAUGGAUCGUAAACCUCUUUUAUAAGGGAAUAAAGUGCGGGACGUGUCCCGUUUUGUAUGUACCUUAUGAAUAAGGAUCGGCUAACUCCGUGCCAGCAGCCGCGGUAAUACGGAGGGUCCGAGCUUUGUCCGGAUUUAUUGGGUUUAAAGGGUGCGUAGGCGGUUUUUUAAGUCAGCUGUGAAAGUCUGUGGCUCAACCAUAGAAUUGCCGUUGAAACUGGGAGGCUUGAGUACGUUUGAGGCAGGCGGAAUGCGUGGUGUAGCGGUGAAAUGCUUAGAUAUCACGCAGAACCCCGAUGGCGAAGGCAGCCUGCCAAGCCAUGACUGACGCUGAUGCACGAAAGCGUGGGGAGCAAACAGGAUUAGAUACCCUUGUAGUC